UUCAAUCCUGCCCAAGUGGCUGAAAGCCUGUUUGUUUUACGACAAACAGGAAAAGGGGCCUUCACUGAAGUUCGGGCCCAAGGCGGAGUCUGAAGCCGACACUCUACUAUGUUUCUUCGGGGAAUCCUGGAGCUGAGACUGUUUGAGAUGCCUCUCUUCCCCACUUUUGGACCAGAAUAGUAUUGGAAGAGACACCCAGGCCUCCGGUUCUGACCACCACCGCUGGGGGCUUGGGGGUGGACUGGGGGGAGGGGUGGAUGAGGGGCUGAAAUGUCCCCAUGUGAUAAGCCAGGAAUGUGUCUCUGAAAAAAUAAUCGUGAUGUCUUCAUUUUUCUGUUGCCCUUUGCAGCUGUUUCCAAACCCUUGCAGUAUCAGUGAUUUCAAGGAAUCCUCACCUCCUUCUGGAGAGUUUCUUCUGAAAUGCAGACACUACUGUGCCACCAAGUUCCUCCUGCAAGUAUCUGAAAUUAUUUCCCAGGAAUAUCACUGCCUGAUUUUUCUAGGUGAGGAAGCUAAAGCCCUGAGACCUUUACAGAGCUGGGACAUGCACUGGGGCUUCUGAGUUCUAACAUCGAUGAGCUUCACUGCUGUACCCUACUGCCUGCAGCAGAUUCUGGAACUGUGAGUGAACGAUCACCAAGCUUAGAGGCCUACAUAGUCCAGGGUAUGGCACCCAGUCACUCAAUGACAAGUGAGAACCCAUUACCACAGCCUUGGAUGUUAGUUCUCUUUGUUUCUUGAAAGUUAAUUUCAUUGCAGGUUCAAACCUCUUACGUUAUCUCCCUUCUAGACCACUCUCUCCCCUUCUGGUCUGCUUCCUACCCAACGGCUCUCUCUAAUGGCUCUUGAACAUCUAGAGUCAACCUUUUCCUCCAAAAGAAAUACACACACAUCCAUAUACCCUGCGAGCCUCCCCACUGCUCUGUGGCCUUCCCCAAGCCCCUUUGCUCCCCACGAUCCCCCCCCCAUGCUAUUUUUCCUCAAUGCCAUUGAAUAUCACCCGCCACUCCCACCCCCCACCACAACACUGUUCUCUGACCGAGAGGACUUGGGAGCUGCGUCCUCCUCUGAACCGCUCCAGCACUGGGGUCUCAGCCAGCUGCUGCCUGCCCAGGGGCUGCAGGGUUAUUGCAAGAAGUCUCGGUGUCUAUUUGUAUUCCAAAUAUCGUCUGCCGACUGGAUAAGUAAUGUCUGGGUAUGACUGUGCUACUGCUUUUCAGCUGUGCUGAAUCCCUGGUCGUUUUUCCACUGUGAAUUUCCCCGGUUGACUAAAACCCUAAAUAACAGCCCCUUUCAUUUGCAGGACUGCAACAAUUUCCAAGCUGUGGGGAGGGAGUCCUCCCGCCGGAGCGGGUUGGAAGCCACUGAGCCCAGGCUGUGGAGGCAGCAUGUUGUCCCUGCUCCGCAGAGACCUAGUCAUGAGACCUGAGGUCAGAUUCCAGCUCCUCCCCAGGCUGGUUGGAUGAUCUUGGGGGCAGCCCCGUGUGACCUGGAGAGCUUGGGUUUCCUCAUCCCGAAGCAGAGAUUGUGAACAUGAUUUGGCAGGAUUGUCAAGAUGAUUAAAUGAGAUAGAUCAAGGGCUUUGAAAGCUGUGGAGUGUGGCACAGAUGGAGGGAUUGUUGUGGUCAUCUAAGACACUGACACAGAUGGUCAGCUUCUCCAGGGCAGGGACAGUCCCCUCCCUCAGUGACACUUCUUGCGUUCAACGCAGGUGGGUGAGAUGACCUCGUAAAAACACCUCUAAGCGACGCGCACAGUGGCUCAGCACACAGGCGUUUAAUAAACGGUAAUGGGUAUGUAUGCAUGUGCCUCUGGUUCGAAUCUUCUGUCUGCCCCUGGCUGGGUUAGAGAGUAUGACAGUGGGCGAGGUUAGCGCUGACAGACUCUCGAGUCCUUGUCUACCACAUGGCUGAAGUGACAGCGGCUGCUUGGUGAGGCGGCCGUGAGGCUGAAGGAGCUGUCUGUGUACCAGAGCUGGGCACAAACUGCAACUCCGUGGGCAGCAGCUCUUGUUUCACUAUGAUUUUUUUUUAACUUAUUUAGGAGAGAGCACACACGCAAGCGGGGCGAGCAGCAGAGGGAAAAGGAGAAGCA